rnacentral:rRNA from 1 species
CCUAGCUGUGUUGGCUUUCUAACCCGCACCACUUAUCGUGGUGGGAGACAGUGUCAGGCGGGCAGUUUGACUGGGGCGGUCGCCUCCUAAAAGGGAACGGAGGCGCUCAAAGGGUCCCUCAGAAUGGGUGGAAAUCAUUCAUAGAGUGUAAAGGCAUAAGGGAGCUUGACUGCGAGACCUACAAGUCGAGCAGGGUCGAAAGACGGACUUAGUGAUCCGGUGGGUCCGCAUGGAAGGGCCA